UAAAAUGAAACAUGCGAAAAACCAGGAAGCCAAAUUAGAAAAACAAAUGGGACCAAAUUGCACUCAGGCGCAAAAGGGGAAGGACCACACGCGAAAUAGCCCGUAUCACGAAAACACGUGGAUCCCCCCUGGGUCGGGUCGGAUCACGCGCAGGUCAUGGGGCUUAAACGGCGUCGUUUAAUGGAGCCUUAAAAUCCCCUAAAAAAAACCUAGUUUCAUCUUUAGCAGCCCCC
rnacentral:lncRNA from 1 species